rnacentral:rRNA from 1 species
UACAGAGGGUGCGAGCGUUGUUCGGAAUUACUGGGCGUAAAGCGCGUGUAGGCGGUUGCCCAAGUCGGGUGUGAAAGCCUUGAGCUCAACUCAAGAAAUGCACUCGGUACUGGGUGACUAGAGGACCGGAGAGGAUAGUGGAAUUCCCAGUGUAGUGGUGAAAUACGUAGAGAUUGGGAAGAACACCAGUGGCGAAGGCGGCUAUCUGGACGGUUUCUGACGCUAAGACGCGAAAGCGUGGGGAGCAAACAGG